ACAGUAUCACAGAGUUAAUUACACCAGACCUGCACUAAAGGGAAUAAUAGAAAGAUUGGUCUUUGGCAGAAGAGAAAUGAUCCUGGAUGGCAGCUUUAAGAUGCAUGGAAAAGUGAAGACCAAAGAAAGGAGAAAUAAGAUGAGAUCAUGAUGCAGCCGUCCUUUUGGAUUUCUUUUUAAUAAUGUGUGACCCUUCACCUUUGAUCCCCUGACCUGCAUUACCUUGGCUCUCACCACACACUUGUUCAUGGGCGCAGCAAAGAAGAGGGAUCCACAGAGCUGGAGCCGUGAGGGCUGACACAUUGGAAUGAAAGCUGGCAGAAUUCGUAGGGAGAGCUUUCCCAUCCUGCCAGCCCCAUGUCUGGCUUUAAGACAGUUCUAUUAGUGAAUUAACUGUUCUCAAAACCCCAAAUUAAUUUGAACCGAAUGUUACUAAAAAUGAAAUAGAAUAAAGUGACCUACUCUUGCCUCAUCUGGAGUUAUUACGAAGGAGCUCCGCAGCCUGACUGAGCUCUGGAGAGCAGGGCUCUGUGCACACGCCUCCUGGUCCAGAGGCCUCCGUGACCAUCCAUGAUGCCACUCUGUCCCCUCAGCAAGCUGCCUUUUUCUUCCUAGCACCUGCCCCAGCGGUGGUAUGUUUUCCAGUCAGUUACCACCUGUCUCAUCAGAAUGGAAGCUCCAUGAGAGCAGGGCCUUUGUCUUGUCCCCGUGUAUCUCCAGUGCAUAGGACAGUGCUGACACAGUGCAGAGUCUAAAUAAACGCUGU
rnacentral:sRNA from 1 species